UUGCCCCAAUUACAUAUUAUAGUUUCGUUUUUUACAUUAAAUCCUAAAAAACUUUUUACUUUUAAUCCUAAAAAACUAAAACCGUUUCAUUGAUGAUAGUUUAAAAAUUAAAAAGACGUAACUACCGUUCCUAAAUGGAAAGGUCUCCCUGUAAGUUUCCGUCGGAAAAGCGCUCCAGUGAUAAUGGGAGGUGUCCAAGAGCAACCAGGUAUGGUAGAUCGUCCCUAGCAACUUGCAACUUCCGAUCUCCGUACGCUGUUAAUAUUUCCCACCGGUGGAUUUGAAGAAGACGGUCACCAUCUGUCCUAACUCCUAAUCACAACUAGACAGGACAUCUUUUCCAUCAGCGGCGGCAGUGGUUGCUCGAUAUCAACAUGCACGGUGUCGAAACUGGUGUCAGUGCCAAUGCCUAAUAAGAGAAUUGAGCGGCUAGGGGUGAUCUGGGACAUGACAUAGGAGAGGUUGGAAAGCUCGUCGAUGAUGGAUCCCAUAGGAGUUCACUUUCUCCGACUGGAUCUAAUAAAAAGGAAUGACUUUUCUGACAAGAAGAGAGAGAAAGAGAGAGAGGAAAGGUGUAACGGUGGAUUGAAAAUUUGUAUAUCUUCUCUUCAUCCAACGAUUUAAUUCAAAUUGAUCAAA